UCCCUGGUGGCUCAGAUGAUGAAGCAUCUGCCUACAAUGCAGGAGACCCGGGUUCAAUUCUUGGGUUGGGAA
rfam:Ovis aries breed Texel chromosome 13, whole genome shotgun sequence.